CCUACGGGUGGCAGCAGUGAGGAAUAUUGGUCAAUGGACGAGAGUCUGAACCAGCCAUGCCGCGUGCAGGAUGACGGCUCUAUGAGUUGUAAACUGCUUUUGUAUUAGGGUAAACCCCCCUACGUGUAGGGUCUUGAACGUAUAAUACGAAUAAGGAUCGGCUAACUCCGUGCCAGCAGCCGCGGUAAUACGGAGGAUCCGAGCGUUAUCCGGAUUUAUUGGGUUUAAAGGGAGCGUAGAUGGGUUGUUAAGUCAGUUGUGAAAGUUUGCGGCUCAACCGUAAAAUUGCAAUUGAUACUGGCAGUCUUGAGUACAGUUGAGGUAGGCGGAAUUCGUGGUGUAGCGGUGAAAUGCUUAGAGAUCACGAAGAACUCCGAUUGCGAAGGCAGCUUACUAAACUGCCACUGACAUUGAUGCUCGAAAGUGUGGGUAUCAAACAGGAUUAGAUACCCGAGUAGUC
rnacentral:rRNA from 1 species